rnacentral:rRNA from 1 species
CAGCAGCCGCGGGAAUACAGAGGGUGCGAGCGUUAAUCGGAUUUACUGGGCGUAAAGCGUGCGUAGGCGGCUUUUUAAGUCGGAUGUGAAAUCCCUGAGCUUAACUUAGGAAUUGCAUUCGAUACUGGGAAGCUAGAGUAUGGGAGAGGAUGGUAGAAUUCCAGGUGUAGCGGUGAAAUGCGUAGAGAUCUGGAGGAAUACCGAUGGCGAAGGCAGCCAUCUGGCCUAAUACUGACGCUGAGGUACGAAAGCAUGGGGAGCAAACAGGAUUAGAGACCCCCGUAGUCCCUGUCUCUUAUAA